rnacentral:rRNA from 1 species
GAUGAACGCUGGCGGCGUGCCUAAUACAUGCAAGUCGAGCGAAUGGAUUAAGAGCUUGCUCUUAUGAAGUUAGCGGCGGACGGGUGAGUAACACGUGGGUAACCUGCCCAUAAGACUGGGAUAACUCCGGGAAACCGGGGCUAAUACCGGAUAACAUUUUGAACCGCAUGGUUCGAAAUUGAAAGGCGGCUUCGGCUGUCACUUAUGGAUGGACCCGCGUCGCAUUAGCUAGUUGGUGAGGUAAAGGCUCACCAAGGCAACGAGGCGUAGCCGACCUGAGAGGGUGAUCGGCCACACUGGGACUGAGACACGGCCCAGACUCCUACGGGAGGCAGCAGUAGGGAAUCUUCCGCAAUGGACGAAAGUCUGACGGAGCAACGCCGCGUGAGUGAUGAAGGCUUUCGGGUCGUAAAACUCUGUUGUUAGGGAAAAACAAGUGCUAGUUGACUAAGCUGGCACCUUGACGGUACCUAACCAGAAAGCCACGGCUAACUACGUGCCAGCAGCCGCCGUAA